rnacentral:snRNA from 1 species
AUCGCUUCUCGGCCUUUUGGCUAAGAUCAAGUGUAGAAUAUUAUUAAUCCCAUUCUGUAUAUAAGUAAAUGUUGACAGAAAAUGGUUUAAUGACUUGCUCCAAAUUUCAUAGCACACCAAGAUUAU